AUGGGUCAUUUUCCUUGGUGUUGUGGGGCUGACCUAGAUUACUUGCUGUCUCAGGCAAAGGACAAGAUUCUUUCCCAUCUCCAUGACUUUAUUCUUCUCCAGACCACCUGCAGUCAUCCAGAGACUUUGAGGGACUCAGGGACAGUCACAGAGUACAAAGCUAUCUACUUUGCUUCCCCCUCCUAGCAUCUGCCGCCUGAAGCAAUGGUACUUCUGUGCUUAAGUGAUGUCAUUCGGCCCUCUUUUAAUUUCGCUUUGGAUUGGAUUAGGAAAGGUAGGCAACAGUGGGCAGCUACAGGGAAGUGUGGUCUAGCCUCUGUACUCUGCAUGGCUGAUUUGUCCCAGAAACCCAUAGGAUUGAAAUACAGCCAGUCCCCAAGUUAGGAACAAGCUAGGUUUUUGUAGGUUUGUUCUUAAGUUGAAUUUGUUUGUAAGCCUGAACAGGAACAUUUUAAAAGUGUAACUCUAGCCAAAAAUACAUAUAUUUUCAGCUUUAGUUAGCAUAAGGAAGGGCUAACAUCCUUGUAGUGUUUGAUUUGCGGUCUGUGCUCCUAUUCAGAUGAUAUAACCUCACUCUUUAUCCCUGUGAUAACUGGAUUUUCAAAAAUGUGGCUUGUGGAAACAAGGAUCGGAGAGAAAGCUUCAGUGAAUACACCUUUUCCCCAUGAUAACUCUUUCAGGAGUAAAUUUCACUUCCGAGGCGUAGAUUUCUCGCACUUCGUGUUAUCUCAUCCUUGUUCUUGACUGUGAGUCAUUUGUAAGUCAGAUGUUUGUAACUUGGGGACUGCCUAUACAUGGCUGACAUGUGUUUAUGAUGUACUUCAUUUGUUUACUGGUUUAAGAAACACCGAAGACUCUGGUAUUUGCCAAUACUCAUUCAGCAGUAGGCUCAGUGACCAGCUCCCCUUAUAUCCAUGUGACUAUACCUAUACAACCUGUGUGCAACUGCUAACAGAGUCACAUUGAGUUCCUGUACAACCUCAGAGACAACUAGUGUAAUAUAGUGAUUUCAGCUUUGGAGUCAGACUCUGGAGACCAGGGUUUGAAUCACUGCUUGGCCACUGAAACCCACUGGGUGAUUUUGAAGAUGUUACUCUCUUAGCCUCAGAGGAACGCAAAGUCAAACCUCUCUGAGCAAAUCUUGCCAAGAAAAUUCCAUGAUAGCCUUGCCUUAGGCUUUCACCAUAAGCCAGAAAUGGCUUGAAGGUGUAUACCAACAGGAAUCUCAGAGGACACCAUUGGAUUGCCUCCAAACCACCAAACCACCAAGAGUUGCAUGUGCCCCAUACUGUACUUUUGCCAGCUAUUUUAAAUUUAUUAUGAAUCUCAUCGGAGAAAAGAUUGGUUUUAUGGUGGUCAAGUGAGUAGGUUUUGGUCUGCAUGCCCCCUUCGUGUACUAACAAAACCACUGAACUUUACCUACUGACCAUCGAAUGUUAUUUGGGGAGGAAUUAGCAAGAGUUACAUUUUGUUAUGACAAAAAUUAUUGAAAAUAUGAUCUUUGCUUCUGCUUCAACUUAAGCUUGACACAAAUAACUGCAACAUCUUGAGGUGAAAGACAGCUCACCUUUAAGGCUGCAUUCAAGCCUAAAAAUCAUGGAUUCAGUCAACUCUACCUAUUCUGGUUGCAUUUCUGUGAAGACCUUAUGGAGCUCAACAAUGUUGAGUUUGGGAUUUUAUCAAAGUGCCAUAAAAUGUUCCUUUAUUGCGGGAGGCUAGGGGAGGGAGCAGAAGAUGUAGUUGCUUACCUGUAACUAUGUUUCUUCGAGUGGUGUUCUGUGGAAUUCGCACUGAUGGGUUUUCCUGUGCCUGCACAGCAAUUGUCGGAACCUUCUAGAACUUAGAAUAAAACAAAAUGGCAGGAGCCCCGCCCACUCUCCCCAGUAUGAUAUAUAAGGCCCUGUGGGCGGGGCUAGUCAGUUCCCCGCCGCCAGGUAGCAACUGAGCCUAGUGGCAUGAUUCCAGAGGGGAGGAUGGGCGGGUUGUGCGAAUUCCACAGAACACCACUCGAAGAAACAUAGUUACAGGUAAGCAACUACAUCUUCUUCUUCGUGGUGCUUCUGUGGAAAUCACACUGAUGGGAGACUAGCAAGCUACUCACUGAAGGAGGAGGGUCAUGCCACGCAUGAGAACAGCACGGCUCUCCCAAAGGCUGCAUCCCUCUUCGCCAAGACGUCCAACUUGUAGUGGGAGGCAAAGGUGAAGGAGGAGGACCACGUGGCUGCUCUGCAGAUGUCGUCGAGCGGUACUCCCUUUAGGAAGGCUUGCGAUGUAGACAAGGCCCUCGUGGAAUGGGCCACCACCUUCUGAGGAAGGUCCCGGCCCGCCAGGGUAUAGGCCGUACGAAUUGCUGCCACAAUCCAUGCGGCUAGGCGUUGAGAAGAAACCGGGUACCCCAACGCAUCUGGUCUAUACUUCAAAAAGAGCCUGGUAGAUUUCCUAUGAGCCUUGGUCCUUUCAAUAUAGUAAGCUAGUGCUCUCCUAACGUCCAGAGAAUGUAACGCUGUUUCUAGUGGUGUGGAGGGAUUUUGGAAAAAGGCCGGCAGAGUGAUAUCCUGGCACAUAUGAAAUCUGGAGACUACUUUCGGUAGGAAAGUUACAUCUGUCCUAAGGACAACCUUAUCCUGAUGAAAUCUCAGAUACGGGGGGUCUGCCCUAAGGACACACAACUCACUAGCUCUUCGCGCGGACGUAACCGCCACCAAGAAAGCAGUCUUCCAUGAUAAAUAAGAGAUGUCACACGAGGUCAUCGGUUCAAACGGUGUUUUAGACAUUUGGGACAAUACCAGCUCCAGGCUCCACGCCGGUGGUGGUGGCGUCACUGGCGGGUGUAGGUUCUUGAAUCCCUUAAGAAAAAGACCAAUUAAAGGGUCCUGAAAGCAGGAUUGGCCAGAGGAGCCUCUACGGUACCAGGAGAUAGCUGCCACGUAGCAUUUAAGAGAGGCCAAACAUAAUCCAUUGUUGGACAGGUGCACCAGGAAAUCCAGGAUUAUGGAUGUAGGGGCUGUAAAUGGGUCCACACCUUUGGAUUGCGCAAAGACUUGGAACUUCUUCCACUUGUAUUCAUAUGAGCAUUUAGUUGAUGCUUUCUGUGCUGCCUCGAGAAUAGCCCUCACUGGGCCUGAGAGAUUGAGCAUGGUCUGAUCCUCCAGCCGGUCAGAUUCAGCAUUGCUAUGUCUGGGUGG
rnacentral:lncRNA from 1 species